GGCGGGACACGUGGUAUCCUGUCUGAAUAUGGGGGGACCAUCCUCCAAGGCUAAAUACUCCUGACUGACCGAUAGUGAACCAGUACCGUGAGGGAAAGGCGAAAAGAACCCCGGCGAGGGGAGUGAAAAAGAACCUGAAACCGUGUACGUACAAGCAGUGGGAGCACAGGUUUACCUGUGUGACUGCGUACCUUUUGUAUAAUGGGU
rnacentral:rRNA from 1 species